CGGCACCACAUUUCUACCGUUUUCUUCAGGAUCCUGCCAGAUGCUAGCAUGGCUGGAAUUUUGUGACGUGAAGCUUCAGAGCUGUUCUGUUUCCUUGACACCCCGCGUUGCUUUGUGCACAACCCUUUGCACAGAGUGCACUUUUACACACAGGAAGGCUCAGGCGGGAUACCGUCCCGACACUUAAGUGCUCAUCAUAUAGUGCUGACGUAUGUUGACACCAUAUAGCAUAAAACAGAAGCAUUGGGGAGGACAGCAGACAA